rnacentral:misc_RNA from 1 species
CGGAGCAGAGAACGGACCUCAAAUGACUGAAGUCGAUGUCGUUUUGCCGGAGGGCGUGGCCGAGCCCACGACACAGCUUGCCAGCGCAUCAAGUUCCCCAAAACAGAGUAAACCAUCAGCAGAUGAUGUUGAGCAGCAGGUCACAACUGUGGAGGACGAGGAAGAGCAGGUGGUCGAGGAGCAGCAGGAGGAUGAUGAGCACAUGGCGGAGGCUCCCUCCAAUGAAAAGCUCGAGCUGCUUGCCGCGAGCGGCAAGGACAUCGUUAUAGAGGAUGUGGCCCAGGCAUCUCCACAAGCUCCAGUGGCCGACGAGAUAAUGGAGGUUGACGGUACCGAAGACGUGGAGGAAAACGAAGUGGAGAACGACGACGAAGACUCACAGAUUACCAGCAGCAGCUCAAAAGAGCCCAAACUGGAUGAAGAAGACGAGGAAGAGGAGGCUACCACAAACGGAGAUGGCGAUCAUGAGCCAGAGAACGAAGACGAUGCCCAAAAGAUCGGUAGCACAGCGGAAAACAGCUGUGAGGCCGAAGAUCCCCUGGGAGCAGUCACAGUUCCUGAGGAUGAACUGGUCAGCGGGAAGAAACCGCAUCUAGAUGGCGAGGAGAGCGUGGCCAGCGAAGGAGUCGUAGAGGAAGAGCCCCCAGCGAAGCAGGAGAAUGGGUUUGGAGCCAGUCCCAAGCAGAAGGAGAAUGGCCAAGCCAGCUUAGCAGAGGCUAGGGCGGCAAUAGCUCCCUCCGAUGGUGGUGUGGUUAAUCUGGACGAGGAUAGUGACGAGGACAUGGAGGAUAUUACGGAGCACAAGGAGCCGGCGAAGCCCAUCGAAAAGGCAGCCAAACCGGCUUCCUCCAGUGGUGGUGAAUCCUCCGACGAUGCUGUUCUGAUAGCCUCCGAUUCGGAUACAGAGUCCCCAGCUCCACCGCCGCCAGUAAAGAAGCUCCCGCCAGUUGUCAAGGCCACCCCGCCACCGCCCGUUCUGGAUAAUGAAGAUGAUGAUGAUGACGACGACUGCGUCGUGAUUGAAGAUGACACACCGCUAAGUAUUUCGCCCAGCGGCAAGCGCAAGAGCGACCUAGAUGACCUGCAGCUUCAACAGCCCAGCCAUAAGAGACAGCGAAGUUCAACGCCCUCGGGAAUGGGCCAGCUGACCAUCAAGGAUGCCCGCUCGUUAAUGCCUCUCGAUGGCAGUCCGAGCUCUGUGUCGGGUCCCCGAGAUUCUAUCUACCCGGUGACCAUAACGAAUGCUGUGACGGGAGCGGCCACCAAUCUGGGUGUUGUGCCGCCUAAGCUAGUUCCCAUGGCGGGCGGCAUGAGCGCCAGUCCAGUGCAGCUGAAUCCGCCUACGUUAUCCCUUACCGGGCUGCCCAGCAUGACCAAUAACGCCAACCUGCUGCCCGGUCUCACUGACGACAUGUUUGUCCUGGAAGCGCCCUCCUUCAUUGUACCCUACAUCUAUGAAAAGCCACCGCGCGAAAACAUCUGCGAGGUCGUCAAGGCAAUUGAGACCAAGUAUGCGCUGUCGGCUGAGGAUUUGGCCGAGGCAGACAAGGGCGACGAGUUCGACAUGAUGACCGAGCAAAACAAAGAGGACAAGCCAGCGGAUCAGGCCGAUGAAAGCGGCAAAAAGAAAAAGAAAAAGCGAGGUGACGACGAGUCCUGGUCAGAGCAGUCGGACGAUGAUGACGACGAAGACGACGAUGACGACUCGGAGUCGGGUGUGCGGACUAAGGUGCUGAUCAAGGAGGCAAACGAUGACCUGAGCGCCUUGAAAGUGGCCAUCAAGCCUGCCGCUGCCUUGGCAACAGCGGGCGGAGUGUCGGUAAACAAUCCGGGCGGCAACAAGCCAGGACAGGAGAACUAUUUUGAGAGUCCGUUGGGCAAGUUCUUCAUGGACAUUGGCGUGGGUCUGGUGCAGGAGUACGUGCAGUCGGAUCUGCUGCGUCUGCAGAAGCGCAAGAUGCGCAAGGCGCAGGUGCAAAAUUCCAAGGAGUUUGAGAUGGCUAUCAAUGCGCUCUCUGGCAACCUGCAGGCAUCCAAGACGAAAAACGCGCCCUUCAAGUUCCGGAUGAAGCGAUGCGAGUUCUGCAACUUUAAGUCGGAGUCCGCCAUGGCGAUGGCUAAUCACUACGAGACGCCGCACAUGAACGGAGUGCUGUACAAGUGUAACUUCUGCACGUUUGAGAUACGGAACGCCACGGAGAUUGUCUACCACAUGGAGGCGGUGCACAACAUAAAGGCGCGCCUUAUAAAGCCACUGCCCUACCACCAGUGUCCCAACUGCGGCUUCGAGGAUAAUGGCAAGGCAAAGCUGGCCCGACAUCAGCCCGUCUGUGCUAAGAAGUUCCGGCCGGAGCUUAACCUGGCGCCGCCGAACGACUGGGAGGCACCGGCCAAGAUACCGCGCAUUAAGCCACGUCAUGGUCUUGUGGGCACUGCCACCGCCUAUCAGGCUAUGGCUGCACAGGCGGCGGCACAAAAGGCCGCUCUGGCCAACAUUCAGCAGCAGCAAGCGGCGGCGCAGGCGAGGAAUAACCUUCAGGCAGCCGCGUUAGCCGCCCAGAAUGCGGCCAAGAUGCGUCAGCGAGCCCCGCAGCCACCCAAACAGAACAUGGUGCGAAAUCCUGCGCCGGUGCGUGGAGGCAACGCUAUGAAUGCGGGUCUCUCGUUGCCCAAUAGCUAUCAGCUGGCAGCCGGACAGCUUGUUCAGGCGUCCAAGAAGCCGAUGGCCGGACAGCCCAGCAUCUCGAUAACGCCAUUACCUCGACAGAGCUCGGUGGGCGCCGGAGCGGGUGCCUCGUCCAGCAAGGCGCCUCAAGCGGCAGCAGGAAUGAAGCCCGGCCAGAGUCCCAGCGGUAACAACAAGGCGCAAUUUGUUAUAUGUGAGAUCUGCGAUGGCUACAUCAAGGAUCUGGAGCAGCUGCGCAACCACAUGCAGUGGAUGCACAAAGUGAAGAUUCACCCCAAGAUGAUCUACAAUAGGCCGCCUUUGAAUUGCCAAAAGUGCCAGUUCCGGUUCUUCACGGAUCAGGGCUUGGAGCGACACUUGCUGGGCUCACAUGGCUUGGUCACAAGUUCCAUGCAGGAGGCUGCCAACAAGGGCAAGGAUGCUGGUCGCUGUCCAGUCUGUGGAAGGAUGUACCAAUGGAAGCUGCUGAAUCACGUGUCGCGCGAUCAUCAUAUGACCUUGAAGCCCGCUCACCUGUCCUACAAGUGCACCGUUUGCACGGCGACAUUCGGCAUGUACAAACAGUUUGAGACGCACGUUUACACCGCCCACAGUACCGUGGCCAGGAAGGCGAUGGACAGCAAGAAGAACAGUGGGCAGUCCAGCGGGUCGGGAUCUGGGGCAGGGAUGUCGCGCAGUUCGCUUGGAGCGGCCAAUGACUCUCUGCUGAAGCCGCUUAAGAUCAACGAUGAGAUCACCAUCAUACCACAGCCCGCAUCGAAGCCACGCAUCACAAAUAUGGAGAGUCAUGUCAUAGAUUAAAGAGCAUGUUGGAUCAACCAAAAACCUAAUCUCGCAACGUUUGCAGCAUUGACAGCGCUUUAACAUUAGUUUCGUUUUUAAGCCGAACGCGAACUUGGCGCCUCACGGUCCCGCCCUUUAACUUCUAAAAGUGAAAUUCCAACCUUGUGAUGUGACCAAGGCAAUGUUGCCGAUCUCUUGUCCUCGUCCAGUCUUUUCUAGCACUGUAGGUACUUAAGUGAAGCCAUAAAA